AAAAGCACUGGGGCGAUGAAACGAGCGGACAAUAGCGGGAAAUUUGAAAAGCUGACGGAACAGACGAGAUAGGAAUGUCAGCUAGCCUACACAAUGCUGAGAGAAGGAAUGACGUUGAACAGCGUAUACAUGUUCUCUUAUGACAAGACAUCCGAUGGACUUUCUUUUCCUGAUAUUUCUGCGGAUGUGAGGAAAAAUUAAUAAUGGAAACUUCAGGAACUCAUUUGGAUGUGAUUUCAAACAUUGGUAAUAACCAGAUCUAUCUAUUUGAUGCAUGGGUAGACGGCUCCUUCCAACAAGAGCCCUAGAUGGCUCUCAUGCGGUGACAUCACUCUAUUUUCGAUGAGCUGAUAAACGGACUGCACAAGAAUGAACCUGACAUCGACCUAGACUUCUAUCCCACUGAAUACGAUCAGUGUUGGCCUCAUGCAUGCUGAGCUACAAUUGGAUAUUGAAUAGGCCUUCGCUAG